rnacentral:rRNA from 1 species
UGGGGGAUAUUGCUCAAUGGGGGAAACCCUGAAGCAGCAACGCCGCGUGGAGGAAGAAGGUCUUCGGAUUGUAAACUUUUGUCUUCUGGGAAGAUAAUGACGGUACCAGAGGAGGAAGCCACGGCUAACUACGUGCCAGCAGCCGCGGUAAUACGUAGGUGGCAAGCGUUGUCCGGAAUUACUGGGUGUAAAGGGUGCGUAGGCGGGUGCGCAAGUCAGAUGUGAAAUCCCGGGGCUUAACCCCGGAACUGCAUUUGAAACUGUGCGUCUUGAGUGGAGGUGAGGUAAGUGGAAUUCCCAGUGUAGCGGUGAAAUGCGUAGAUAUUGGGAGGAACACCAGUGGCGAAGGCGACUUACUGGACUCUAACUGACGCUGAGGCACGAAAGCGUGGGGAGCAAACA